rnacentral:rRNA from 1 species
ACGGAGGGUGCGAGCGUUAUUCGGAAUUACUGGGCGUAAAGGGCGCGUAGGCGGCUUUGUAAGUCAGAUGUGAAAUCCCACGGCUCAACCUUGGCAUUGCCUUUGAUACUGCAGAGCUUGAGUUCGGGAGAGGGUGGUGGAAUUCCAGGUGUAGGAGUGAAAUCCGUAGAGAUCUGGAGGAACACCAGUGGCGAAGGCGACCUCCUGGCCCGAUACUGACGCUGAGGCGCGAAAGCGUGGGUAGCAAACAG